rnacentral:rRNA from 1 species
AGGGUUUGAUCCUGGCUCAGAACGUACGCUGGCGGCACGCCUAACACAUGCAAGUCGAACGAAGUAGCAAUACUUAGUGGCAGACGGGUGAGUAACAUGUAGGUAUCUGCCCUUUGGCCUGGAAUAACACGAGGAAACUUGUGCUAAUACCGGAUAAGUCUUUACGGAGAAAGCUUUAUGCACCAUUGGAUGAGCCUGCACUUGAUUAGUUUGUUGGUGGGGUAAUGGCCUACCAAGACUGUGAUCAAUAGCUGAUUUGAGAGGAUGAUCAGCCACAUUGGGACUGAGACACGGCCCAAACUCCUACGGGAGGCAGCAGUGGGGAAUCUUGCACAAUGGAGGAAACUCUGAUGCAGCGAUGCCGCGUGAGUGAAGAAGGCCUUUGGGUUGUAAAGCUCUUUCGUCGGGGAAGAAAAUGACUGUACCCGAAUAAGAAGGUCCGGCUAACUUCGUGCCAGCAGCCGCGGUAAUACGAAGGGACCUAGCGUAGUUCGGAAUUACUGGGCUUAAAGAGUUCGUAGGUGGUUGAAAAAGUUGGUGGUGAAAUCCCAGAGCUUAACUCUGGAACUGCCAUCAAAACUUUUCAGCUAGAGUAUGAUAGAGGAAAGCAGAAUUUCUAGUGUAGAGGUGAAAUUCGUAGAUAUUAGAAAGAAUACCAAUUGCGAAGGCAGCUUUCUGGAUCAUUACUGACACUGAGAACGAAAGCAUGGGUAGCGAAGAGGAUUAGAUACCCUCGUAGUCCAUGCCGUAAACGAUGUGUGUUAGACGUUGGAAAUUUAUUUUCAGUGUCGCAGCGAAAGCGAUAAACACACCGCCUGGGGAGUACGACCGCAAGGUUAAAACUCAAAUGAAUUGACGGGGACCCGCACAAGUAGUGGAGCAUGUGGUUUAAUUCGAAGAUACGCGCAGAACCUUACCAACACUUGACAUGUUCGUCGCGACUUUAAGAGAUUAAAGUUUUCGGUUCGGCCGGACGAAACACAGGUGCUGCAUGGCUGUCGUCAGCUCGUGUCGUGAGAUGUUGGGUUAAGUCCCGCAACGAGCGCAACCCUCACUUUUAGUUGCCAUCAUUAAGUUGGGCACUCUGAAAGAACUGCCAGUGAUAAGCUGGAGGAAGGUGGGGAUGACGUCAAGUCCUCAUGGCCCUUACGUGUUGGGCUACACACGUGCUACAAUGGUAUCUACAACAGGAAGCAAGACUGCGAGGUCAAGCAAAUCCUUAAAAGAUACCUCAGUUCGGAUUGCACUCUGCAACUCGAGUGCAUGAAGCUGGAAUUACUAGUAAUCGUGGAUCAGCGUGCCACGGUGAAUGCGUUCCCGGGUCUUGUACACACCGCCCGUCACACCAUGGGAGUUGGUUCUACCUUAAGGCAAGGUUUUAAACCCUUGACCACGGUAUAGUCAGCGACUGGGGUGAAGUCAUAACAAGGUAGCCGUA